rnacentral:rRNA from 1 species
GACGGAGGAUGCAAGUGUUAUCCGGAAUCACUGGGCGUAAAGGGUGCGUAGGCGGGUCUUUAAGUCAGGGGUGAAAUCCUGGAGCUCAACUCCAGAACUGCCUUUGAUACUGAGGAUCUCGAGUCCGGGAGAGGUGAGUGGAACUGCGAGUGUAGAGGUGAAAUUCGUAGAUAUUCGCAAGAACACCAGUGGCGAAGGCGGCUCACUGGCCCGGUACUGACGCUGAGGUGCGAAAGCGUGGGGAGCAAACAGG